GCAGCUGUGGGAAAAUUUUGACAGUUCGGUAAGAGGUUGUUUAUGUUCUCAGACCUACGGCAUGUGGAUGUGGACUCGUGUAGAAACAAACAUUGUAAAUCUGUGUCGCGCAAUAGAGUUGCGAAAAAUCACUAAAUUUGUACAAAGCAUAUCGUUUAUAUUGAUCUAAGUACAUUGAACGGCUUUCUAAAAAGUGUGCAUCAUGUCAACCUGCGCUGCAUCCUUUUGCCAACACAGCCGCUACAUGGUGAAAAAAAUGGGUCUGGAUGUAAUUUUUCAUAAAUUUCCAACAGACCCAACGCUGUUACGCAAAUGGGUAGAAUUUUGUCAACGAGAGGAAGCUUGGGUGCCAUCGAUAAGCAGCAUUUUAUGUUCAGCACAUUUCAACAAAACUGACUACCAGCUAACCAAUUCGCCUUCGAAGGCUAAUAGAAAAAUUUAAAAAAAGCUUAAGCCAUCUUGUAAGUUGUCAUGUAAUGUCCCACACUAAUCUAUACUAAUGUAAGCAUAUUUGAUAAAGUUAUUAAAUUUGAAGGGUUCAUACAUGUA